rnacentral:rRNA from 2 species
UGCGGUUAUACAAAAAUUAAAUUAAAUUUUUUUAGGAUUUAAUAAGUAAAUAUUAAUUUAAUAAUUUAAAUUUUAAAUUAUAAGGUGAAAUUUUAAUUUAAUUAAAAUUUAUUUAUUUUUAUUACAUUAAUAAAUUUUAUAAAAAACUAGGAUUAGAUACCCUACUAUAAAAAUUUAAAUUUAAUAAUCUUAAAAUAGUAUAUAUUUUUUAUAGAAACUUAAAUAAUUUGGCGGUAUUUUAGUUCAUUUAGAGGAAUCUGUCUAAUAAUUGAUAAUCCACGAUUAAAUUUACUUAAUUUUUAAUUUUGUAUAUCGUUGUUAAAAAAAUAUUUUUAAAUAAUUAUAAUAUUUUAAAAUUUAAAUAAAAAAUUAAAUCAGAUCAAGAUGCAGAUUAUAAUUAAGAAUAUGAUGGAUUACAAUAAAUUUUAUUUUUGGAUAUUAAUUUGAAAAAAUUAAUUGAAAUUGGAUUUAAAUGUAAUUUUAUUAAUUUUGUUAAAAUGAUUUAAAAUUAAAAUAUGUACAUAUUGCCCGUCGCUUUCAUUUAUAAAUUGAAAUAAGUCGUAACAAAGUAGAGGUACUGGAAAGUGUUUCUAGAAAGAU